UUGCUCAUCUUCAACCCCAUGGCCGAAUAUAGCAAGGAGAAACCAUGGCUAGGGUUUUUCAAGCUUCCAAGCUCGAUUAGCAAGGAAAACUGAAAUUCAGGCUAAAAUGGGGAAAAUACCAAGUUGUGGACGAAAUGGUAAAAAUAGCCAUUUUCGCAUACGAGUGUUGACAAGCCAGCUCGGAAAUCGGAAACGGUCGGAGGCACGCUCACACUAUCCGUAUACCAUCUUGGCAUAAUGGCUUGUAUAUUUUGAGUAUGGCAUGUAUAGCAUUAUAAUCAUUUUGUAUAUAUGGUCUUAUGAUAUGGUUAUUGAGUGGUAUGGAAAUAGAAA